CAAGAAUAUGAGGAAGUCUUCUUCCUUCGCGCCUUCUUCUUCCUUACGCUCCAGGGCAGCCUGACAGAGCCGCUCGAAGGCUCUGCUGGCCGCGGCUAGCCGGUUUACCCAUUCCACUGGACCCAGCCACCACCCACUCCUGCUGUCUGGUAAACUUUCCUCCUGUUUCUGGGGCCAUGUCUGGCAUGAAGAGUUUUUACUGAAUAGUUUUCAUUGAUCGCAGGCCAGUUCUCUCUUCUCACCCCUUUAUUGAAGUGACAGUGAAAAUCUAAGUGAGAAAGCACUGUUACAGGGGCUGAAAAGGCUACAGGAGACCAGAGCCAUUGACUUUUAUUUUUAAAAUGAAGAUCUCUUUUACUUGAAGGAACUUAAGAAUUUUGGCAUUCAAAUAGGGGCUGGAAGACUUGAAAGCAGUAGAAAUUUCACCACAGGUGAUAGGAAAGGAUGAUCACGAAAUGAAUAUCUCCUGACUUGCACACCUAGUGAGCAGAGCCAGGAAGGACCUCCUUCACCUUAGCAUUUGGAACAGGCUGCAAAGUUCAUUCUUCCUCAUAGCAGCCCCUGCAUUCAGUUUGGUUUAGUUGUUUUAUGUGGUUUCUAGCCUGAUUUUUUUUUUCAGGGUGCAGCAGAAGUCUCAGGUAGCUGAGAAGUUCAUGGAAUCUUCUUAUUUGCUACACCUUUCACUACUGCUUGUGAUAUAGUGCAGGGUUGGGAUGUGCAGACAUUUCUCAAGUGCACUGUGUACCUACACAGCAUGCUGCAAUUUGGCUACUGAAGUCAAGAGAAACUGGUUUGAACAACUACUGAGUGUAACAUAGGAAGCGCAUUUCAUUUGAUAACAGGAACACAGCUUUUGUGCUAAUAAAAUGCUU
rnacentral:lncRNA from 1 species